rnacentral:piRNA from 1 species
UCUGUCAAGAAACAACGCCAA